rnacentral:misc_RNA from 1 species
UUUUUUCUUUUUUCUUUUUUCUUUAGAGACCCAGAUUGGCCUCAGUUUGAAAUACAAGCUUAACUAAUUAAUCAGUUUGGAUUCCAGGUCGAUAUCUGCAUUACCCGAUCUAAUCUGAACCAUGUGAAUUCUAUAAAUAUUUAAAUUAAUUUAUAAUUUUAUAUAGAAAAGUAAUGGCAUUUUAGUUAUAUAAAAAUAUAAAUAUGCCUUUGGUACAUAGUUAUUAAAGGCGGGCCUUAGGCUCAAGGCUCACCAAGUUCGAACCCUAGCACCAUAUGCACCUAGGUGUGCGCCUUUAUUCUAGGCACAGUGUUCUAGAAAGGCAUACCUUUUUUAUUUUCAUCUUUAGCGAACACUUUCAUUGGCAAAAAGGACAAUCACUUAAACUCA